rnacentral:rRNA from 1 species
GCCAGCAGCCGCGGUAAUACAGAGGGUGCGAGCGUUAAUCGGAAUUACUGGGCGUAAAGCGCGCGUAGGCGGUUAUUUAAGUCAGAUGUGAAAUCCCCGGGCUCAACCUGGGAACUGCACCUGAUACUGGGUAACUAGAGUUUAGGAGAGGGAAGUAGAAUUUCAGGUGUAGCGGUGAAAUGCAUAGAUAUCUGAAGGAAUACCAGUGGCGAAGGCGACUUCCUGGCCUAAAACUGACGCUGAGGUGCGAAAGCGUGGGUAGCAAACGGGAUUAGAUACCCCGGUAGUCCACGCCGUAAACGAUGUCAACUAGUCGUCGGGUCCCUUGAGGGUUCGGUGACGCAGCUAACGCAUUAAGUUGACCGCCUGGGGAGUACGGUCGCAAGACUAAAACUCAAAGGAAUUGACGGGGGCC